UUUCCUGUGGCUCAGUCAGUAGAACAUUGCGCUAGCAACGCAAAGGUGGCGGGUUCAAAACCCAGGGAAAA
rnacentral:tRNA from 1 species